AGAACGAACGCUGGCGGCACGCCUAACACAUGCAAGUCGAGCGCCCAGCAAUGGGAGCGGCGGACGGGUGAGGAACACGUGGGAACAUGCCUUUCGGUUCGGCACAACUGCGGGAAACUGCAGCUAAUUCCGGAUACGCCCUUACGGGGAAAGAUUUAUCGCCGAAAGAUUGGCCCGCGUCUGAUUAGCUAGUUGGUGAGGUAAUGGCUCACCAAGGCUUCGAUCAGUAGCUGGUUUGAGAGAACGACCAGCCACACUGGGACUGAGACACGGCCCAGACUCCUACGGGAGGCAGCAGUGGGGAAUCUUGGACAAUGGAGGAAACUCUGAUCCAGCGAUGCCGCGUGAGUGAUGAAGGCCUUCGGGUUGUAAACUCUUUUACCAGGGUAAGAUAAUGACUGUACCUGGAGAAUAAGCCCCGGCUAACUUCGUGCCAGCAGCCGC
rnacentral:rRNA from 1 species